rnacentral:lncRNA from 1 species
UGAGGAUACUACAUGACCCAUUACAAGGCACAAAGUAAUUACCAUAGGCAAACCGCUGAUGAGAGCUCACUCCAGUUUGGAAUAUAUUCAUGUUUCCAUAUAAGAGAAAAAUUCAUCCCUGGUUCAGUUCAUCUUGGCAUCAGUACACGGAUGGGAUUCAGAGACAUGUAGGUGUGGAAUACCAGAUUCCACCAAACUUAAAAAGCUGGCAUACUAAGUUGAUAAAACGAUGUAGAGUGUGAAGUUGAGUUGAGAAUGCUUAUGCCAUACAGUUUAUGUAUCUUAUAAUAGCCUUAAUCACACUUCCAGUAAUUUUCCCUAUCAUUGGGUGCUAAAAAAUAAAAUUAAAGAAUUAGAAUAAAAAAUAUAUAUAUACCUCUUUGAGUGGAAGAAUGCUGUCAGCACAUUUUGUAAGACAUAUAUAUAUGUGACCUUUUCCUUUCCUUUUCUAUACCCUGGGGUCAAAGUCUCCUAUAAAAGGACAUUUGCACCAAGUAUUUUCAGCUGGAGUAGGAGGAAUGAUGCUACGAACCAUCCUGUUAUGUGUUUGUACCAUAUCAGUAGUGAAACUGACAGUGCUCUGAUAGGGGUAUACUCUUUUAUCCCAAUCUAUAUCCCAAUACCCAAUAGUAAUAUUGCCUUUAUUUUUUUCCAUGAAAGAGUAAGGUUUGGAAAAACAAGAAAAACACGGUUAAAAUUAUUUCUCUAGUGAAUUGGUUGUGUUUAUAAAUCUUUAGCUUAGCUUGAGUCCCCCUUUGUGAAAUGUAUAAAUCCUUUUGAUACAUUAACAAACACUUGGAAAAUGACUUAAUUGUGUGUGUGUGUGUGUGUGUGUGUGUGUGUGUGUGUGUGUGUGUGGUUAUAUCUCACGUUAUGAGUAUACCGUGUUUGGUUUAUUUAUUCACCCAUUGAUAAACUUUGGGUUGUUUACAGUUUAGUGUUAUUAUAAAUAAGUUUGUCAUGGCCACUGGUACAUUUUCCUCAAAGUGCAUGCUUCUUUUGCUAUGCAAAACUGCAGGAUAUGGAGUGUAUUAAAACACUAAAUCACUUUAUGUGGAAGAUAAAAGGGAUGGUACCCAAUGUACAACUUCAUGUAGUGCACUGAUAUAUUCAAUAUAAAUGAUGUAUUAACUUCAAGAUAACAUGAGAAAGUUAAAUUAUCUAACUUAUUUCAAACUAGGGGAUAGUAUGUUCUCAUUAUUAGAAGCCAGAAUUCUGCUUAUCCAUUAUAGAUAGAUGGUUUUCUAUAUAGACCUAUCUAUCUAUAUAUGCCAUUAUUGUUGUGUAUAAGAGUGCUUAUUCAGAUAUAGCCAGAUGUUUAUAC